AUGACAACGGGAGGAAACCAUGGCGCUGUGGGUACGAUAUGCAGGAACUUUGAUGGUGUUUUUUUGGGCGCAUCAGCUUAUGUGUUUCCGAAUCAUUGUGACCCAGCCACUCUGGAGGCAUUGGCGAUCAGGGAAGGACUAGCAUUAGCCCAAGAUAUGAAUCUUCAUAACAUACAUUUAGCGUCAGAUUGCAAAGGUGUGGUUACAGAAGUCCAAACGGGAAGCGGAUCGAGCUAUGGAGCUAUUGUUCAAGAGAUCAAGAUGACAGCUACUUCUUUUUCCUCUUGUAAUAUAGUUCAUGAAUCUAGGAGCUCCAAUGUGGAUGCUCACAAUCUAGCGAAGCAUGCUUUAAAACUAAGGCCUGGCCGCCAUGUUUGCUUAGGUCAGACCGACGGCAUUUCUUUCGUCCCUGUAAACAUUGUGACGGUUUAA
rnacentral:rRNA from 1 species